CUUUAUGAUGUUCAGAUUUACAUGCCUGACGUGAUUUGCAUACUGAUUUUGCUUGGCUGCUCUGCUGUUUUUUUAAAAGUGUGAAAAUAUUUCAGAACUAAACACCUCUGGAGAACAUGGCCUCAGUGAUGCUUCUGUUGUGGACUGCAGCUCUGUUUGCGCAGUACACCAAAGGGGAGAUUGUUUUGACUCAGAAGCCAUCGGUGAAAUCUGUUCUCCUUGGAGAUCAAGUCACUCUUGACUGCAUGUCCAGUUCCUCCAGUUUUACUAACAGCCUGGCUUGGUACCUGCAGAGGCCUGGAGAAAAACCCAGACUCCUGUUUUCUUCAGUGGGUAGCCGAGUGUCUGGGACACCGAGCCGUUUCACUGACGGCAGAUCUGGGACUGUGUUCUCGCUGACCAUUAAAGGAGUCCAGCCUGAAGACAUGGGUGAUUAUUACUGUCAGCAGCACUAUGAGCUCCCUCUCACACAAUGAGAAAGAGUCAAACAAAAACCUUCACAGGCUUUGGCAGUGCAGCUGC